UGGGGAAUAUUGCACAAUGGGCGCAAGCCUGAUGCAGCAACGCCGCGUGAACGAUGAAGGUCUUCGGAUCGUAAAGUUCUGUUGCAGGGGAAGAUAAUGACGGUACCCUGUGAGGAAGCCCCGGCUAACUACGUGCCAGCAGCCGCGGUAAUACGUAGGUCCCGAGCGUUGUCCGGAUUUAUUGGGCGUAAAGCGAGCGCAGGCGGUUAGAUAAGUCUGAAGUUAAAGGCAGUGGCUCAACCAUUGUAGGCUUUGGAAACUGUUUAACUUGAGUGCAGAAGGGGAGAGUGGAAUUCCAUGUGUAGCGGUGAAAUGCGUAGAUAUAUGGAGGAACACCGGUGGCGAAAGCGGCUCUCUGGUCUGUAACUGACGCUGAGGCUCGAAAGCGUGGGGAGCGAACAGG
rnacentral:rRNA from 1 species